CUGUGCCAUGCACAUACCUUGCUUAGCACUAGCAGCAUCAGUAGCAGAUUGCGGCAUACACAGGAAGAAAAGUGAAUAAUAUUGGAACCAAUAGAAUCUCGGCCGACUUCGGCUGGCUGGCCCGUUGUUGUUACGCACAACAUUGCUUCUGCGUGGAUGCCUCCGCUCUCGAUAGGAUUGGAUAUACACGUACCGGAUCAAAACCCGUUGAAAUUCGGAUGACAGAAAAAAAGAAGCGACAUGGUGCGCAGUGGCGAACAAGACCCGGAUCAUUUCCUCCGUUAUUAUCAAUUGAAAGCUUUUCUAAGCCCGGUAUUGCAUGAGUAUGCAUCUUGU